ACGCGAAGAACCUUACCCGGGCUUGAACUGCAGCGGAAGGAUACAGAGAUGUUGACGUCCUUCGGGACCGCUGUGGAGGUGCUGCAUGGUUGUCGUCAGCUCGUGCCGUGAGGUGUCGGCUUAAGUGCCAUAACGAGCGCAACCCUUUUCGCCAGUUGCCAUCACUUUGGGUGGGCACUCUGGCGACACUGCCACCGUAAGGUGUGAGGAAGGUGGGGAUGACGUCAAAUCAGCACGGCACGUGCAUUCAAUCAUGAAAGUCAUCCUCAGUUCGGAUUGGGGUCUGCAACCCGACCCCAUGAAGCUGGAUUCGCUAGUAAUCGCGCAUCAGCCAUGGCGCGGUGAAUACGUUCCCGGGUCUUGUACACACCG
rnacentral:rRNA from 1 species